rnacentral:lncRNA from 1 species
AUUUAACACUGCAUUUGGCACUUUUGACAUUGCUUAAAAGUGAACAUGAAGCAUUCCCUGUGCAUAAUUUUUGAAGAUCAAUAACAAGAGUGCUGCAUUGCCGACAUUCCCCUGUCCUGUGAAGGUUCAUCAGCUUCUAAGUCUUGAGUUAUUGGCUACUCCCUCUCCUGUGAGGUCCCCAGGCAAGUAAUAAAUUUGUAUGUCUCUUCUCC